CCUACGGUGGGCAGCAGUGAGGAAUAUUGGUCAAUGGGCGCUAGCCUGAACCAGCCAAGUAGCGUGCAGGAUGACGGCCCUAUGGGUUGUAAACUGCUUUUAUGCGGGAAUAAUGCGCGUCACGUGUGCGGUUUUGCAGGUACCGCAUGAAUUAGGACUGGCUUAUUCCGUGCCAGCAGCCGCGGUUAUACGGAAGGUCCGGGCGUUUUCCGGAUUUUUUGGGUUUAAAGGGAGCGGUGGCCGCAUGUUAAGCGUGCCGUGAAAUGGUCGGGCUCAACCCGGGCCCUGCGGCGCGAACUGGCGUGCUUGAGUGCGCGGAACGUAUGCGGAAUUCGUGGUGUAGCGGUGAAAUGCUUAGAUAUAACGAAGAACUCCGAUUGCGAAGGCAGCAUACUGCAGCGCAACUGACGCUGAUGCUCGAAGGCGCGGGUAUCGAACAGGAUUAGAUACCCCGGUAGUC
rnacentral:rRNA from 1 species